rnacentral:rRNA from 1 species
GUGAGGAAUAUUGCGCAAUGGAGGCAACUCUGACGCAGCCAUGCCGCGUGCAGGAAGAAGGCGCUACGCGUUGUAAACUGCUUUUAACCGGGAAGAAACCCCAGGACGUGUCCUGGGUUGACGGUACCGGAGGAAUAAGCACCGGCUAACUUCGUGCCAGCAGCCGCGGUAAUACGAAGGGUGCAAGCGUUAUCCGGAUUCAUUGGGUUUAAAGGGUGCGUAGGCGGAGAGUUAAGUCAGUGGUGAAAUCCUGCAGCUUAACUGUAGACUUGCCAUUGAUACUGGCGCUCUUGAGUGCGCUUGAAGUGGGCGGAAUGUGCCGUGUAGCGGUGAAAUGCUUAGAUAUGGCACAGAACACCAAUUGCGAAGGCAGCUCACUAAGGCGAUACUGACGCUGAGGCACGAAAGCGUGGGGAUCGAACAGGAUUAGAAACCCUAGUAGUCC